GGUCCGGUCCCUCCAGCUCAGUCCAUGCCUAUGCAAGGUCACAACCCACCACCGUACAUGCAACCGGGAACUGUGCCUUUCCAGAUGGGCCCUCAGAUGAUGCACGGCGCGGGCCACCCUGGUUUGCCGCAUCCGCCACCAAUGCCUCCAUAUCAGUCACAAUAGCACUUCGUUCUUCUCUUGGCGCCAAAGGUGUGAUAGCCCUUAGUUGAUGCAAUUCCCUUGGGCCUGAAGCUCUGGUGGUAUCCUUUUCUUAGUAAAUUUUUUUGGGGAGAUGGGUGUGGAGCUCGUGCUAUGAUUAUGAUACUAUGUUUGGGAACUGUAACUUGCCAUUUGAUUCGGAGGUUUUAGAUAUCUACUUGUUCAUCAUAGAGAUGAUUGACUUUUUGCACCAAUUCGUGAACUUGUAUAUGAGUUGGAUUGGAUCUCUCUCUCUCUCUCCCUCCCUCCCCCCCUUGUGGCUGGAUGAAAGUGACAAUUCGACUAUCCGGUCAAGCAUCGAGAGGAACUGAGUUAAGCUGAUAUACAAUUGCUGUCAAAUUUCGUUGGAUGUGGCGAGUCAAAUAUUUGGAGCAAUCCCACAAGAUGAAAUUAGUUACUGUCAUCCGUUGAUUAUUUCUAUGUUUUAUUCUAACCAUCGUUGGCCGAAACAUCACCACUGCCAUGAAGGUUAACUACAAUCUAUAAAUAUUGUCAAAACAGCAGCCGCCACCUGCCAUCAACACCUAACCACUACAAAAAUUACGUGUUAUUCCUACCUGGGACGUUGCAGCUGCCGUCGUUGUCAGCAGCCAACUUCUACUCUUUAGAAUUUGACGAGGGAAAAACAGAAAGAAUCUUGCAUUUGACAAGCACGUCAAGAUGUUGUCCUGCAGAUUUUGUUUCUAAGUGAAAUGAAAGUCAUGAAAAGACCAUCUAGACCAGAAAACAUAAGUUGGUGAAAUCAGUGUCAAACGGUCUUCUUCACUUCAAUCUCUAUGUAUGUGCUCCUUCCUUUUUCUUGUUAAUGCCUUGGAACACGACGAUGGCGAAAGUUUUUUUAGAAAGAUGCGCAGAGGCUGCAAGGGAUUUUACAUUCAUGUCCCGGAAGUAGGAAGUUUCCUUUAUUCCCAAUACAAGCAAAUGAAGACCUAAAAAAGCCAAAUUCAUGCGAUCUUCAACGUGAGAAAAGUCAAGGCAAUAGGAGCAUAGUAUUACUAAUGUCCUGUGUCUCGACUUUUUACAUGAAUGACAAACCACAGCCACAGGAAUUGUGGUUUAACUAUUCUCGAGUCAAAAUAUGAAAGAACAAAUGAAUGGUGAAAUCCUCUAACUUAGAAACUGUCCCCUUCCGUCUGCAACUUCUGUCAUUUACAUAGACAAAAAGUAGCCUUCACACCUUGGUAGCACUCAACAUGAGCGUCGAUCCAUGACUUGCAGCUUCCACACUUGAUGCCAAGUUGUGUAGGUUUUCAUUUUUGGUGCCUAGGAUCACACUGAUGCCGGAGUUCACUAGAGCUCGGAGUGCUUCAGGGUUGGGAUCGUAGAACCACAUUGUCCCAAUAUUGUGAUUCUUGUAGAGCUGUAUCACCUCAGCCAGACUAGGCAGGUUGUCUCCUUGCAUUCCAUAGCAAACACCAAAGGCAGGCUGUUGCAGUGAGAAUUUGGCUGAGGACAGAUGCCAAAAUCAACAUCAGGAAGACUCUGCGAAGUGAUGCCAUUUCCUGGACUCCCUUUCCUGUUUCCACAUUCAUGUAGAGUGAAACAUUAGGAAGACAUUUAAAUUUUAACAGAUUGCAACAGGAGAAGGUUCAAUCAAAAUGAAACCCAUGGUUUGGAAGCAAUCAGUGCUGAAGCUACUUAUCAAUACACGUCUCAAAAUUCCGUCCCCUUAGAGAUGCGAAAUUAUGCAUAUAUGCACCAGAAAGACUAAUCCAUGUGAGGAUAGAACUAUGAUCAAUGUUUAGCUGGUUAUUUAAUUUAUGCAUAAGCUAACGAGAUCAAUCUAUGAUCAUCUCUCUCUAUAUUAAUGACUUGAUCUCACAAAAUAAGGAGAAAAUGUCAGGAUUUGUAAGCAAGAUAUUUCAUUGCAAUGACUCGCUGAUACAAGCUACUAAUAGAAAGGAUAUGCUGAAAAGAAGUUUGUCUCUCGGUGGGAGAGAGAGAGAGAGAGAGAGAGAGAGAGAGAGAUUCCCAAGAUUUAAAACAUUUCAAGCCUCUACAUAAUGUGCAAUGCAAUCGCUUAAAGCACAAGUAAAGCAUUCAAAUGACUCAUAAGACGUGCUAUUCCAUCUCUUUUCAACUGAUAAAUUGCAAGACAAAAUUGCAAAAAGUUCCUAGGCAGCCUCCCGCGGUGACCAAACAAACUUCUGCGAAGAAAAAUGAAGCGAGACUUUGUCAUUUAAACAGGCAAAUCAUUAAACACAAGCUCAUUUUUCACAGGGAAUACUCAUGAUUAAAGAGUUGGUAAUGUAACCGUCUCCUCCAGUCCUUUCUCACUUUUCCACUGUUCAGCAUAUGAAACAUAAAUCUCAGGGCAAAUCUCCCUCAAUGACACCUUUAAAAUGGAAAAUCCUCAUAUCCUAUCCACUGGGGAAGGAAAAAGGUUAGGUAAGAAAUGAAUUCCACUCAUCUUUCAACUUAGGAAAUCACCAAAAUGGUCAAUCUCAAAAGGGCCAACCAAGUAGAAAGCAAAAGCAUUUGACAACGAAGCAAUUGCGUAAUAUCCAUCAUGUCUCUUCAAAGCUUUCUCUAUGAGGUCCCACCCUGCCAGUAGGUUGAACAUUUUCUUUCCCAACUAUGCUAGUUUAAGUUUACCCGAACAUGGGGUUCCAGAAGUAUAAACUAAGAUUGAUUCGAGCUGCGAUUUAUUUAUUGAAAAGCAAUGCGAAUACUAAACUUUCGAAGGCAGAAAACUCAUUAAGGGAAACUCUUCUGCUGGAACUAAUGAAGGUAAGGCAAUCCAUGAACUAACUGGCUCGAAUGGCAUUUAUGGCAACCUGGCGAUAAUGCUCGACCAUAUCCUGUAUCUCAAAGUGGUUCAAAGCUCUAGGUUUGGGAUAAAUGGCAUGAGAUCCAUCCGGCGUCAAGAUCCUCCACCUCUGACUUAUUGGCUUGUCUGUCGACGACAAUGGUGCAGCUCCCCCAGGGCUGAUAGACUGAUCAAUUCAAUGUGUUCAAAACGGGAAUUGGUAAGCACAUCGCAAAAAACAACAUAUGUUUUGGGAAAGGAAAUGUUAUGCAGACUUUCGUGACCAAAAAAUUAGAGGAAGUGGUCAUAAAUGGCAGUGCAAUGAUCAUAGCGAAAUUUGAGUUAUCUAUGAAACCUAGCAUAGACUCCGCAACUUCCAGAUAUGUGAUUAGUUUAGUACAGUUCGUUCAGAUGCAAAAAGCCGGAAAAGAACAGGCUACAAACGCACAAAGCAAAAUAUCGAUGCAGAGAAUCCACCAUCACCAACGAUCUCAUGUGCUUAUUAUGGGGGCAGGGGCCGACGGCUUGACGCCUCGGUGGUGAAUGCUGUAGAGAACGUGUACCUUGAUGGGAGGCACGGCCAACGUGCCAAAGUUGACAGGGUUACAGAUCUAAUUGGAAAUCGCCAAAAUGGUCAAUCUCAAAAGGGCCAACCUUGCUUUCUACAGCCCCAUGUCCUUUCUGGUGCUGAAUUGGUGCUCACUGUCACUGCUCAGCAAAUUGCAUUCUUUACUAAGCCCAUGAUCUGUAUUACCUGACCAGAACCACAAGACAGAGAAGUGGUCGGGUGGUGGGUGUGAGGCGAUCGGGCGGGAACGUUCCAGCUUACAUGACAAGCCGGUGCCGGAUCUCGAGCCGGAGGGGGGGCGCGGUGGUUCGCCGGUCACACGCUGGUUCGCCGCGAAGAGAGGAGGACAGACAGAGACGUAAGGGGAGAGAAGGAGCAGGGGACAGACGAGUUGGGGGCCAGAUCCAGAGCCAGAGAGACGAUGCGGUGGUUCGCCGGUCAGAAAGAGGGAGGUCGCACGCUGGUCGGUUGCUCGCGGUCCUCUCGCCGGUAUCCACCUGGUUCGUCGGUUGCUCGCGGUGCUUCGCCCGGUCGGAAAGAGGGAGGGUAGAGAGAGAGAGGGAGUUCGUCGGACAGAGAGAGCGAGGGGAGAGAGAGAGAGUGAGGCGUGAAGAAAGAAAAGCAGGAUCGAAAUAUUUUCGAAUUCGCGCCUCUUUUUCUCUCCAGAACGUGGGUCCCACGAGGACACGUGUCGCGCUCCCACCACCUUCUUGUUUGUCACGCUGGAGCAUAAGACGUACCUAAUAUUUUCUCGUUCACAAGUAUUGAAAAAAAAGAAGAAGAAGGUUGACCAAGUCAACCAAGGGAAAGGAAAAGGGGACGCUCGGCUCCUUAAAUUGAAAGCUCGCACGGAAAGAAAAUGAGAGAAUAGAGGAAGAAGAAGAAGAAGAAGGCUCUUAACUGGCCGACCCCUCUGGCAAUGGGGGGCGGCGGCAGUGGCGGAGGAGCUGCCCUUUUCUUUUUUUCUUUUUUUAACAGUUUUAAAAAAAUGAAUUUUAGUUUUUAAAUAUAAUUUUUUUUAAAAUUGAAUAAAAAAUAUUUUAAAAAGCCAGAUGGAAAAUAAAAAAUCAUUUAAAAUGCCACGUCAGCAUUUUCCGUCAAUAAAAUUGACGAUGUUAACUUUAGGAUUCAAUUGAAUCAUUUUGACAAGUUUUAGAAUUUAAUUGCAUUUUUUACAAAUUUUAGGAUUCAAUUAUAUUUUCAUGACAAGUUUUAGGACUUUUACUAUCACGCCCCGAUCCUCGGGCAUGCACACAUCCUUCUAAUUAGUCGAUUUUAAAAUGCGAUAUCACAGGACUACGUAUCGCCAACCCUUCCUUUUUUAUUACGCAUGCGGAAGUAGUUAUAAAUCCCCAGACAAUAAAACAAUGGGAUAGAAAAAGCAGGGCUAUAAUUUUCAUAUUGAAAUCCACAACCAUACUUUUAUACAGAGCAUAAUUCAAAGAGCUUCACAAAACUAUACAGACUUUCUAAUUUCACUUUAUUCACAUCAAAACAAGAUUCCUAAAAGAGGAUGGGACCUCAUUCCUCAUCCGAUAGUACUCAGGAUCCCUUUCUGGAUCAUCUCCUUCUUCAAAAAUCUUUAUUCUCCUCAGGUUUCACUUCAGUAUUCUCCUUUUCCAAUUCCUCCUCAUCGGGUUCAUCUAUGGGCCUGAAAUGUUGUCUCACAACCGGGAUGAGAUUACGUCUCAGCAAGUUUUACCCCACUAAGGCCCAAUUAGUAAACCAUUAUACUAUAGGCUACCUAAACACGCACAGGUCAAAAGACGUACCUUGGCAUCAAUCUCAACCUGUAAUUUAAGGUUAUAUAUAGAUGCUUCAUAUAUCUCAAUGAACAAUCAGUCAAAUCACAGUUCAAUCGACUUAGUCGAUUACAUGUUAGUCGGAUCAUUUCUGGGUCGUUUCAAUUAUUUCAUCUCAAUUCCCAAUUACGAACCACAGUCCUCAGGUCACAACUUAAGCAUAGGUGGAAGACACAGUCCCACUUGACAACUUUCAAUAUUUAGUGGCUUUAUGGUCCCACCCGACCACUUUCAAUAUUCAAUGACUUUAUAGUUCCACUCGACCACUUUCAAUGUUCAAUGUAUUUACGAUCCCACUCGACCACUUUCAAUAUUCAAUGGCUUUACGGUUCCACUCGACCAAUUUCAAUGUUCAAUGGCUUUACGGUCCUAUUCGACCACUUUCAAUAUUCAAUGGCUUUACGGUCCCACUCAACCACUUUACCACGACUCACGAUAUUUCACUUUGUAAUUAAAUUCCUCAACCAGAUAAUCAAAUCAACCCAAUAGGAACAUAUCCUUAGAUUUCAUAAUUAAUUUAAUUUGGUACGAUUCGAAGCUCAAUUAAAUAAACAGACUGCGAUCAGCACGAAAUUCCGAUCAUCGGACAUCUCAGCCUUAAUUUCUGAAAAAUAAUUAAUUAAUUAAUUAAUUUCGAAAAGUAAUUAAUAAAUAUUAAAAAUUCAAUUUAGCUCAAAAUAAAGCCCAAUUAAAUAAAUGGACUUCACCACGAUCACCAGCAUAAAAUUCCGGUCACUAGCCAUCCCAGUUGAAUUUCUGGAAAAUAAUUAAUUAAUUAAUUAAUUUCGAAAAUUAAUAAUUAAUUACUAAAAAUCCAAUUUAGGCCCAAAUUGCCUAAUUGAAGCCCGCUAAGGGUUGGAAAAAAAUCCCAAGAUGCUUUCAAUAAAUAAUAGACUACGUCUACUUGCUAAUUGAGCAAUCAAAAUGUCUAACAUGCAUUACAAUUGUCUAAUAAUCACUAAUCUAUUCUAAUCUAACCACCUAAUUGCAUUUAAUUAAACCUAACUAACCCCUAAGCAUAAUUAGUAAACUAAGCAGGGAUUAGUGAGAUUAAUCACCGGAAUUAAGCGUAAAAUAUAUCAAUCCGACAAGGAUGACACGAGGAACGAUAAACCCCAAAGCACGGCUUGGGUUCGGAGCUCGGAGAAGACCCAAAAUGGCCCACGAACGUGCUGGAAACCCACCCUGUGGGUUGCUGGUUUGGUUGCAAAACAGAGGGGAAAUGAGAUGGUUGGGGGCUGAGAAGGGUCGAGAAGGCAGGUGGCGGUCCGGCGAGGCUGCACGGCGACUCCGGCGGCUUGCUCAGCCGCUCACGGUGGCUAGAACGAGGUCGGAUAGAGGCGGCAGGAGGCUGGACGGCGCUGGACUGGCGCGAAGAGAGAUGCACAACAGCUCGGCGGUUGUGGAGGACGCGUGAACGGCGGAACAGCAGUGGGCGGUGGAGCAGACGGCGGUCCGGCGAGCUACUCCGGUCUUCCUCUUCUCUCGGCGCUGCUGCUUCUGUUUUCUGCUUUUGUCUUUGUUCCAACGGUGAGCGGGAGAGAGAGUACCGAGAGAUAGAAGAAGAUAAGAGAGAGAGUGAAGUUUGAAAAGUCAAAAAGUAAAAAGGGAAAAAGAGAAGAAAAGUUGAAAUUGAUUAGGGGGUAGUUGGUGGAGGGGGAAAACGCACAAGGGAAAAAGAAAAGAGAGAGGAGGGAAAGAGAGAAAAAGAAAAAGGGGAAAGGGGGGUGAACGGUCCGAAUAGGGGGAAAGAAAGACAACGUGGGGGAAAGAGGAGAGAGAAUAGGGAGAGAGAGAAAUAAAAUAAAAUAAUAAUAUUAUUUUUCUUUUUCUUUUCUCUUUCCCUUUAUAUUUUCUUUUUGUCUUCAAUUUUUCCUCCGAUAAUUUUUUCCCGAAAUUUUGGACUCGUCAAUAAUUUGAUGGAUGAUGAGACAGAAUCCUAAAAAUGAAUUGUAAUAUGCUCGAAUAUUCGAUUCCCGAAACCAAAUUAAAUUUUAUGAUUAGAAUCAAUCGGACGCGAUUUUAGUCAAAUCCAACAAAUUAAGUAGCUUUUAGGGAUUUUACCGCGGAUACAUCCCUUAACGGCUUCACAUAAUAGGUUAGUUAACUCGUGAGUGAUUAGCUCAGAGAAAAAUGACCAUAAGCACGUCGACGAAAUACCCAUUUUACUUUAUCGAAACGGGAUCGAAUUUCAAGAUGUUACAUCUACAGCACUUAUCCCUUCUUUUUUACCAAACUUCACGGCAAGUUCAGUCCAUUAAUAGACUUCAAGAGCGAAACAAACAAAAUUUCUUUGAUGAAUUCACACCUGGAUCAACUCUUCAAAGGCAGUUUGUAGAGGCCAUUUAAUGAAGUCAGUUUAAGGAGUAAAACGCCACUGUAGCCCCCUUUUUCUUGAUCAACGUGUGCCUUCUUGCAGCACACUUUUCUUUGGCGGUUUGCAAACCGCCAUACUCUUGCUUUCACACACUUAGCCAAAAAAAAAAAAAACAAUUAAAAAAAGAAGAAGCUAAUUUCUUCCAAAAAACAAAAUCAAUUUUACUAUUUUCUAAUAGCCUCCCUUAGAGUUGAUUUUGUAAAACAACAACAUCAAGCAUUGUUUUCAAUUUCUCCAACAAAUCCGCAUUCAAUGAUUUUGUCAAAAUAUCUGCAAUUUAAUUUUUGGAUUUACAGAAAUCAAGUUCGAUCUCACCUUCUUUAAUCAGCUCACGAAUAUAAUGAUACUUGAUGUCAAUAUGUUUGCUUUUGCCAUGAAAUACAGGAUUCUUAGCUAAUGCAAUCGCCGACUUGUUAUCACACAUCAAUUUAGUAGGACCCUCUCUCUUAUUCAUGCAUUAGUUCAAAAAAACAUCCUACGAAGCCAUAUCGCUUGACAUGCUGUGAAGAUAUUGCAAUGUAUUCUACUUCAACUGUCGAGAGUGCAAUAACUUGUUUCCUUGAGGACCAAGAAAUUAUUCUUGAUCCAAGAAAGAACGCACAUCCGGAAGUACUCUUUCACAUUUCGGUAUCACUUGCCCAAUCACUGUCUAUAUACCCCAUUAAACUAAAAUUGUCAAUGUAAGAGUAUAAAAUUCAAUGAUCACGAGUUCCACUAACAUACCGUAAAAUUCUUUUUGCUGCUCGCAAAUGUGAUUGGUACAUUUUCUCCAUGAACCGACUAAUAAUUCCCACGCCAUAGUUAUAUUUGGCCUAGUGGAAGCCAAAUGUCUUAAACUGUCAACAAUACUUUUAAAAUAAGUGAGAUUUACCAAUUCACUAGCUCCCUCUUUCUUCAACUCCAACCGUUCUGUUAUGGGAGUUCGAAUUGAUUUGAGCGAUUCCAUAUUGAAUCGCUUCAAAAUAUCAUUAGCAUAUUUCUGUUGUGAAACAAAUAUGCCUUCAUUUGUCUACUUCACUUCAAGGCCCAGAAAAUAGGACAUUAAUCCCAAAUCUGUCAUCUCAAACUAACUAGUCAUGGCCUCCCUGAAUUCAGCAAACAUCUUCUCACAACUUCCUGUAAAUAUCAAAUCAUCAACAUAACGACAAUAAUUAUGAUAUCGCCGUUAGUAUUUGACUUGAUGUACAAUGUAUGCUGAUAAGGGCACUUUUGAAAGCCAUUCUCCAAUAGGUAAGUGUCAAUCCUCGUGUACCAAGCUCGAGGUGCCUAUUUUAGCCCAGACAACACUUCUCAGUUUAUAAACUUGAUUUCCAAGCCUUUUCUCACAUUACCUGUGGUUGCUCCACAUAUAUUUCUUCAUCGAGAAAACCAUUAAGAAAUGCUGAUUUCACAUCCAUUUGAUGGAUUUUCCAACAGUUCUGAGCUGCAAGUGCUCAAAUCAUCUGAAUGGUAUCCAUUUGAGCCACUGGUGCAAAUACUUCAAAAUAAUCAAUACUUGGCUUUUGCUUGUAGCCUUUCACAACUAGUCUGGCUUUGUAAUGGUCCACCUGACCAUCGUGUUUGUACACCCACUUGACACCUAUAAGCUUCUUACCAGGUGGUAAAGAAGUUAGCACCCAUGUGUCAUUCUUUUCAAUGGAGUGGAUUUCUUCAUCCAUUGCUUGGAUCCACUUUUCUUCUGCCGCUACAUCAUCAUAUGGGGUCACACUCUACAAAUAAACAAAAGUUUGCCAUUGUUUCAUCAGCGAUUUCGUCACUGUCAUUAUCAUCAUCUCUUGCAACCACAUAAUCCUUGAAUUUUACCGGUGUCUUCCGCGGUCAUUGUGAACGACAAAUUAACAGUUCUGUGGUCAUUGCUGGUGAAGAGGAUGAACUACUGGGUGAAAGUGAUGGAUCUUCAAUUGAAGAUUCUUCAGUCCCCCCCGCCAAUGGUUCAUCUUCAAUAAGGACAUCUUUCUGGUCAAUCUUUUGGUUCUAGUCCCAAGCUUCAUCUUCAAAAUACUUCGACAUCCCUACUAAUAAUUACCCUAUACCCUUAGUCACAUCACUAUAACCGAUGAAAAUGCAUUUCUCGCUUUUGUCUUCCAACUUUUUCCUCCAUUCGUCUAGUAUAUAGGGAUAUGCUACGCACCCAAAUACUUGUAAGAAUGAAACAUCUGGCUUGUUGCCACUCCAAGCCUCUUCUGGGGUUCUUCCAAGAACACUCCUUGUUGGACACUUGUUUAACACAAAUGCAGCACAAGCAACAGCUUCUGCCCAAAACUUCUUCGGUAAUGCUUUAGCCUUUAGCCUACUUCUUGCCAUUUCAAAAAUUGUUCUAUUCUUUCUUUUUGGUAUACCAUUUUGUUGAGGAGUAUAGCUAGCAGUAAAUUGACGUUUCACCCCAUGAAUUUUACAAUAAUUGUCAAAUUCAUGGAAGUAAGUUCUCCACCUCUAUCCGAUCUCAACGUCUUUAAAUUAAAGCCACUUUUUUUCUCAACAAAGACUUUGAAUUCUUUAAAUUUGCUAAAAGCUUUGAAUUUUUCUCUUAAAAAAUAUACCCACAUUUUUUUUGGUAAAAUCAUCGAUAAAAAUUAGCGUGUACCUUUUUUUUUGGGUAAAAGCGUGUACCUUUUUUGUCCAAUUGAUUCCACCUAACAAGGCCACAGAUGUCUAUAUGUACCAACUGCAAAGGUUGCUUGGCUCUUCUAGCUCUUCCAAUUGGGAAAGAUUCUUGAUGUUGUUUUCCAACAAGACAUCCUUCACAUGAGCAAUCUGGACUGUCGAUCAAGGGCACACCAGUCAUUAUCUUUUUUUGGACCAGUAAUUUCAGUUCACGAAAAUCUAGAUGACUAAACCAAAGAUGCCACAACCAUUUUCUGUCUUUUGUCACUACUUGGAAACUCAACAGAGUCUUUGUGACAUCCUAAAAUUCGAGCCCUCCGAGGGAUGAAUGAAUGUGAAUUUUGUCAAUGCAUUGUUGAUUGAUCUCACUCGGAAUUGAUCACUCCUAAGAUACUGACCUUGAGGGGCUAAUGAGGACAAAACUCGUACAACUAAAGAACUUGACCUGGAAAAACGACUUGACCGUGAGACUUGCGUGAGGACGAUCCUGUAGAUAGGCAGGCUGAUUUCAAGGACGACUAGAAGUUGAUUCGCGGACAGAACAUAAUGGAACAGCGGGUGAUUCCAUUUAUUGUUAUCAAACCCGCGAAUGAUCCUAAGUCGAUCCUCAGUAAUCAUGUACUUUGAAAUAAAAAUCUAUCCUCCGCAAUUUCAUGUAGUCAAUGACGUCCAUGUGUCGAGAUGUCUUGAACGUGGUUUGGCACGAGUCGAUUACGUGUGAAUCCUCAAAGCCACCUGUCAAUUUGAGUUGUACCCAAAAUGGCAUGAGAACUAAAGAUUGGACUUCGAAUUAUUAGGAACAUCUGGGAUGGACUUUGGAUGAAGCUACUUCGACGGUCGACAGUGUCAGUUAGGCCGGGUACUUGGAAAAUGGGUUUUCGAACUGAGGAAGCGAGCCCAUGAGGAUGUGGGUCGGGCCAAGCCAGUGUGGGCCGUAGGCCCAAGGUGGGACAGCUACCAUGGAAGGCCUAAGGCAAGCAAGUGAGCCCAUUAGGCCCAAACCAACUAUUCAUCUUCCAAGCCCAUGUCUAAGCCUUAAGCCCUUUCAAGCCCAAAUCAAUUCCCAAGCCCAUUCCUAUUCAUUUCCAAGCCCAUUUCUUAGGCCUACCCAUCAUUUUCAGCCCAAGGACAGAUUGGUAAUUUGUGCAAGGUGGAAAUGACCAUUUUGCCCCCAAAAGUGUGUGGAUAAAGGUAAAGGAAUAGAGAGAAUGUGAGGUCAUGUGCAUGGGGACUUGAAGCAAGCCUUCACCUCGAUGAGGCCUUGACAGCCAACUCCCAUCAAUCUCUCUCCCUCAUUCAGCUGAAAAAUUCGUAGCCCCUCUCCCCUUGUUUUUCCUUAUUUCUUACUUUUGCUCCAGCUAACCUUCCUCCAAAGAUCUGAGUUAAUUGUUGGCUUCUCAUGUGAAUCAGCUUUCGUACCACCCACCACUAUGCUCUAGAGACCUAGAUUGUCCGCUUGGACCUCGUUGUUUGCCGGUCGGAGCCACCGGCUGACUCGUCGGCUGACGAGAAGCCACUGUUCGUGGUACUGCCUGGAGCUGCACUACUUCGCCUAUUCAACUGUUUUCCUCCUGUUUCUUCCCAUUUCGACCAAGCCUCCACCUAUCCCAACUACCAGCAAGUCCCCCUUGAUCCCUAGGUGCCGCCGGUUGCCGCCCACCCCCUCACCGAAGUUCUGGCCAAGUCGUCCAACUUUUUUUCUCCUCUGUCAGUCCAGUUUUUGGGAGUUUCAGUGGGAGUCUGAGUUGUGGUUGCUGUUCUGAGUUUGGAACUGCCUUGGAUCGUCGUGAUAGAGGUUCUCAAGCAUAGCCUCCGUCGUCGCCACCACGUCCGUGUCUCUGGCCCGCUUAACAGGUAAGUUUAGGUCCUAAUCCUUUAAUUAGUGCCUAAACUUGCUUAGGGUUGAUUUAGUUAGAUUUAAUUCUAUUUUAGGUAAUUUAAUUAAGUUGUAUUAGUCCUAAGAUAGGUAGUUAGAUGGACGGAUUAGAUUAGUUUAGCUUAAUCUUGCUUUAUUUGCUUAAUGUGGCUUAUGUGCUUAAUUAAGUAUGUUUAGCUUUAAUUGAUUGAUUGUUUGAUUCAAUUAAUGUUUUGCUUAAUUUCUGUAGUUAUUUUAUCAUUUAUUAAAUUAUGGGAAUUUACUGUUCACGCGACACUAUUCACAAAAUUUUGUUCAUGUGCACUGUUCACGUUCACUGUUCAUCCAAAAUGCGAAUAGAUAUUUAAAUGCAUGGGCAUCCACAUGAAUCGAGCGAUUUGCACAAAAAGAGAAAAAUGGGUUGUCCGAGGGACACUGGAAGUGGACCGCUUUUAUGAGAAAAGGGAGUUGUAGUAGUGUUCUUGCGUGAUCCAAAGUUGAACCAUCACCUAACGGAAGUUGGGGGCGAUACCCGAUGGGAAUCGAAAGCCAGUCGCAGUAAAUUCUAGACCGAUGUCCCUUUUUGGGAAACUGUCUAAACGGGAGUUCUAGACGUAACUGUGCCUGACGAGGCGGGAUGAAGCCUGAUCUUUUUAUCGGUAGCUUGGUGGGAGUCGAAUGAGCGUUGACUGGGAAGUUAGCCAUGGCCGAGAGGUCAUUAACAACUGGGAAGUUGAUCAAAUUGCUGACUGGAAAGUUAGCCAUGGCCGAGAGGUCAUUAAUAAUUGGGAAGUUGAUUAGAUCGCUAACUGGAAAGUUAGUCGUACCGCUAAUAGGGAAGUUAGCCGUAUUGUCAACUGGGAGUUGACCGUGGCCAAUGGGGCGUAAGAAUUGGAAACACGUGUGAGUGUUGAGAUAAUUGUGCCUUAUUAUGGGUAAAAUUGUGUAGUGCGGUAUGGGAUGUGUCAUAACAAUUUUAUCUUAUAAUCGGGACCCAUGUGAUCAACCGAUGCAUGAUAUGUGGCGCACUAAUGUGUAAGAGCAUAUGAGAAUUAUGGCAUCAUUGGUUUUGACUGUGCAUGAGUUGAGCACAUUGUUUAUGACACGUACACAUGAAUCGAUAACGUGCAGGGUGUAGCAAUAGCCAAGUGGGAUCGUUUGUGACGCGACUCGUAUGUGAUUGAUGAACUGCAUCAUCUAAUGUCCAUGUGCAUUGCGUGUGUUGUGUUGUGAUUUAACGUGCAGGGUAUGGUAUACCAGGUAAGGUUGUAUGCGAACCGACUAUUGAUUAUUGGUUGUUAGUUGUUGCUUUGUUUGUGGGGUGGUUCUGAAGAGAUACCCCAAGUUGAGUUGGUGUCCUAAUUAGGGGACUAAGGGGAGGACUCGCUGAGAUUUAUAUCUCACUAGUUAUUGUAUAACCAUUUUCAAAUCUCUAAUGUGAAGAACCCGGAGCUUGAAGCGGAAGGGUUAGGAGCAUAGGUGGCUCAGUAGUUCUUCUUGAGAUCGACCUUCUAUAUAAGAACCUGAGGCGUUUAUAAAAGUGUAUUUGAUUUGAAAAUGAUAUCCUGCUUUUCUAUCCCAUAUUGGUGUUGUCUGGGGAUUUGAUUUUACGCUUCCACGUGUGCAAUUAAAAAGAAAGGGUCGGCGACGCGUCUUGGGAACGUCGCAUUUGUAUCGACCAUCAAGGGAUGCGCACGCACUCAAGGUUCAGGGCAUGACAGUCUUCGUUUGAAGGGAUAGAGGAAACAUUUGAUUCUUCGUCAUCUGUGUCGUCGUAAUCAACUUAUUGUUUACGCCUUUAAUGGUGCAAACUCCAUUUUUAAUGUUAAUUUUGUGGCCUUUUUCGAAUAGUUGCCCAAUACUUAGCAAAUUCCAAAAAAGUCCUGGCACAAAGUAAACGUCUGCAAUAGUAAUAUUAGUACCAUCUUUUGAUUUGAUAUCAAUGUUACCUUUGCCCAUCACAGGAAUUUAGGAUUUAUUCCCGAAGUUGACUUCACCAUGAACCGUCUCAUCUAACUACGAGAAUAGCUCCUAUUGACCACACAUGUGAUUACUACACCCGGUAUCAAGAUACCAAUUUUUUGUGUCCAUGGUAUUUGAGUCAUCCAUUUUGCAUGUUAAUACCAUGUUUUCGUUUGCAUCGAUGGUGUGCACACAUUUUGGCUGCUCGUGCCCCAUGUUUGCUCGACAUUUGAAUUUGUAAUGUCCAAAUUUGUUACAAUUAAAACACUUGACUUUUGAUUUGUCGCGUGUUUUAUAUCUUCUAGUGGAGUUCAGAUUUCCACCUUUACCUCAGGCACUUCCAUGACCUCGACCACCAUGACGACCUCCUUGAUUUGAGUGAGUGACCCGACUCUGCAGUGCUUGCUCAUGAUUCAAACUAAUGCACUUCCGGUUCAUCCUUUGCUCAUGUGAGCAUAAUGAACCCAUCAACCGCUCAAACGUUAUGGUUGAUAUAUCUUAGCAUUCUUCAGUCGCCGCAACAAUAUAGUCAAACCUUUCAAUCAAAGACCUCAAGAUUUUCUUUACAACUCGUACAUCUUGGAGUUCUUCACCAUUAACCCUUAAUUGGUUAACGAUGGUUUGUACACAAUCAAAGUAAGCUGCAAUAGAUUCAGAGUCAUUCAUGCGUAAAGACUCAAAAUCUCCUUGAAGUGUUUGGAGCCAUACCCGCCUAAUACGACCAUUGCCUUUGUAGGAUUUUUGCAAUAUAUCCCACGCUACUUUCGCGGUAUCUGCGCUCGAUAUUUUUUCAAAUAUUGAUUCAUCUACGGCAUGAACGAUAGCAUACAAUGCUUUCUGAUCUUUCUUUCAAGAUUCAACGAACGAUUUGUUCUCCUUCUUUCUCAAAGCAUUGAAUUCUUUAGCAUCAGCUCCUUCGAUGUAGCUAUUCUCCACCAAGUUCCACAAAUCUUUCGAUGUAGCUAUUCUCCACCAAGUUCCACAAAUCUUGGGACUUGAAUAGAACCUUCACCUAGACGAACUAAUUGUUGAAAUUCUUUUCGUUCAACUUCGGAAGUUGCAAUUGAACGGAACUGGUGGAAGCCAUUGCUAGCUCUAGUACCAAUUGUUGGAACCAAAAGAAUAGACGAGCUUUGAAGGAUUUGGUAAAGAGAGAGUGCAAAUGUGACAUCCUGGAUUUUCAGUUUUGUUUUCAAUUGAAUAAAUCAGGCCUUUCAUCGACACACCUAUAGUGCUAUUCUCAGAGCUGAUUACUCUUGAGAUAACUAGACUAUUUGGGGAAAUUAUUAAGAGAUUUUAAUGCAAUAGACUUAAAUAUUCGACUAGGAAUCGGCUACUCGACCAUGCUCAUCUACAAAGAUCAUUACGACACAGUUAAAAAUUAAUUAGAGAUUAGAGAUAGGUUGGUUCGACUGAGAUGUGUGAUUUAAACGUAGGUGAUUCCACUAAAUUGCAAAAUUCUCAUCGAUUAGCACUAGAUUGACUUUUCUAUCAUUUUGAUGCCCUAUGCCCGUAUUUGAAACCUCGAGAUUUUCACGACCACCGAGAGUCACCAUUGUAUCAAAGAGGUUCAUUGUGGCUCGAAGAAAAUCGACCACGGGUUAUUUGCACUAAAAAUUUCUGAAAGCUACCCGAUAGCUUAGGUCACGCUAAAAUCGCGCCAGAUUUGAAAUUAACCAAGAAUUUGAAUUCGAUUUCAAAAAUUAAAAGUCUCGCCAUGUCACAAGUCAUUUUAAAAAUGCCGACUUAGUCUCCGAAGAUUUUUCUACAAACCGAGAUUUUUUGGGAAAAAGUCGAGAUAGGGUCGUUUUUGUCCAGAAAAUUUUGAGGACCGUAUUUCAUCAUGAAAUUGGGAUGCAAAUGGGAUCAAUUGGUGAGGACAAAUACUAAUUUGAUCGAAGACUCGAUAAUGGAAUUUUUAGAAGCCAAAUUGAGUAGAUUCAAGGAGGAUUUGGUGUCCAAUUGAAGCAAAAUCAAGUGAAAUUCGUGUGCCCCCAUGGACCCAACCUUUUGGACCACUUCAAGCUUCUAGAAAAGGACACUUUUGGUCUGGAAAUUGGCUGAGCAAGCCAGCUAGUUGUGGGGAACAAUUUUGGGGAACAAAGAGAUAAGAAGAGAAGACCAAGUGGUCUUCCCUCAAGCAACUUGUCUCCUUCAUUCUCCCUCCCCUCUCCCCCUUCUUCUUGCUGCUUUGAGCUCAACUAACUGAGGAACCAAACCAGCAAAUGCUGAGCAGCCCUAUCGAAGCCACCGUGCACCACCGCCGUCCGCUUGCUCGCACCAAGCCUCCCCCGCAAUCACCUUGCUUGCACGCGCCUCUAGCUGCUCGUUCUGCCCUUGCUUGUAGCCGUUUGAAGUCACCAGGUAGUCGUACAUCACCAGCAUGGACGCUUGAGCUGCCGUUAGCCAUCGGAGCCAUCCGCUUGAGCUGAUGCACCAUCGCCGUUCAUCCUCGCCUCAACCAGUCGACCGACCUCUCUCUCUUAGCCAAGAUCAGUCCAGCCACAGAAGCUGAAGCUAGUGGGCAUUUCCAACCGUUGUUGGCCCAUUUUCAAGCCGUUCUCGACCCUGAAAGUCGGUCCCGCUUUGGAUUUUCUCGUCCCUCACCGCGUCCCCGUCAUUUUGAUUCGAACGGAUCAUUAAUUAAGUGAGUUUAACUCACUAAUCAUUGCUUAGUAAGUUAAUGACGCUUAAUGGUUGAUUAGUUUAGGCUAAGUAUGUAUUAGGUGAAUAGUUAGAUUAGAUUAGCAAUUUAAUUAAUUGUUAUUGCAUGUUAGGUGAUUAUAAUAGUGUAAUUAGAGCCUAGACAAGCUCUAGUAUUUAUCUAGAGUGGUUUGGAAUUUUUCGAGCCCGUCUCAGCUUUUAAUUAGGCUUUGCGGGCCUAAGUUUGCAAUUUUGAUAUUUAAUAAUUAAUUUCCAUAAUUAUUUAAUUAUUUAUUUAUUUUCGAAAAUUAGAUUGGAAUAGCCGGUAACCGGAAUUUUAUACUGAUUGCAAUGGUGUGAUAUGUUUAUUUAAUUGAGUUCUAAAUUGUAUUGAUUGUGUGUGAUUUGUGAUUUUGGGAAUUUAUUCCUAAAUUUAUUUAAUUUUAGUAAUUAAUUGGAAAAUCACCGGGCGUCAAUUUACAACACUAUGGAUUUAUGGAUUGUUGAAAUUGGUGGGAUUUUCAAGUGGUAGAAAAUUAUAUUUUUGGCUAGAGCCGACCAUAUAUUCACACACAAUUAUUUUUAUCGGGUAUGAUAAAAAUGACGAUUUGAUCAGAUAAUCAAAAUCAUUAUUAUUUUCAGUAUACUAUGAAAGUAUAUCUGAUAGCUUCUGGUGAGCAUAAUUUUCAAUAUACUAUGACAGUAUAUCUGACAGCUUUUGGCGAGCAUUAUUAUUAUCAGUGUACUAUGAAAGUAUAUUUGGCAGCUUCUUGCGAUCAUAUAUAUAGUUUAUUAUAUCAGUAUUUGAGGUAGCUUUUGGUGAGCUAUACUAUCUAUUAUCAGUUUGAAGUAAGCAAUCCUGGAUUAUGAUCGGACUUUAUAGAUAGUAUUGAUUGAGAUGACCGGGGAAUGGUCUUGAUGACAUGUAAUCGAUUGAGUUGAUUGAUCGAUGAUUCGAUCUAGUUGGGUAAAGUGGUUUGUGAAAUGAUGAUUGGAUGGUUAUUUAAAUUAUACUAACUUCCAGGAAUGACUAGAGGCCAAGGUAAGUCCUCUGACUCGUUAUUGUGCUUAGGCAGCCCUUUUGGCGUAUUUUCUUCCUAGUCGGGUCUUAGAGAGUUGAACUUGCUGAAACGUUGUCUUACGCCAUUGUAGGAUAGUAUUUUUAGGUCCCUAGUUGACAGCGGUGGAGGACCCUAGAACCGAAGUUUAGAAGGUGAAGCCCGAAGAAUCGGUGAACUUGUCCAACUAGUUAGUUUUAGGAUAAUUCUCUUUUGUUGAAAGUCGAUUCCCUUUUAUAGGCUUUUGUGUAUAAACCUAUGUGUUUAUAAAAAGGUAUUUUGUGAAAAAUUGGCCAUACUUUUCUAUCACAUCUUGUUGUUGUCUAAGGAUUUAUUUAUUUGUUUCUGCAUGCGUAUUGAAAUGAAUGGGUCGGCGAUGUGUCAUGAGACAUCGCUAUUAUAUCGACCAAGCAAGGAUGGGCAUGUGCUCGGAGGAUCGGGACGUGACAGCAAACACACAAAGAAAGAUUAUAGUACUCAAAAUGCCUUGCGAAGGCUUAAUAUGGAGUACGCACAAGCUUUGCUAAGGUUAAAACUAUCUCUCGAUUUCUCUAUAAGCUACUAAAGCUCUUUCAACUCUCUCUCUAAAAAAUAAACUAACAUAACCCUUUAUAUUUAUAAGCAUCUUCCACCGUUUGGACUUCAACAUGCAAGAAGUGAAGCUAGAUUUUUCCUCUUGAUUUUUGCCGUCUUCAGUGUGGGAGUUGCCGACUUUAAUGUGAAAGUGUCAAUUGCAACUUUUCCUUAACGUUCAAGUUAGCAAGUUGAGCUUUGAUUUCCUUUCUUGUUUUGACUGACUUGUUCCUGCUUCUUGAAGACUCCACUAGCUACUAUAAUAUUAUUAUAAUGAGUGCCCCUUCAUUUUGACCAAACUUCACGGCAAGUUCAGUCCAUUAAUUGACCUCAAGAGGGAAACAAACAAAAUUGCUUUGAUGAAUUCACACCUGGAUCAACUCUUCGAAGGCGGUCUGUAGAGGCCAUUUAAUGAAGUCGGUUUAAGGAGUAAAACGCCACUGCAGCCCCCUUUUUCUUGAUCAACGUGUGCCAUCUUGCAGCACACUUUUCUUUGGCGGUUUGCAAACCGCUAUACUCUUGCUUUCAUACAUUUAGCCAAAAAACAAUUAAAAGACAAAAAAGUUAAUUUCUUCAAAAAAUAAAAUCAAUUUACUAUUUUCUAAUAGCCUCCCUUAAAGUUGAUUUUGUAAAACAACGACAUCAAGCAUUGUCUUCAAUUUCUCGAACAAAUUCGUCUUCAAUGGUUUUGUCAAAAUAUCUGCAAUCUGAUCUUCGGAUUUACAGAAAUCAAGUUCGAUCUCACCUUCUUUAAUCAGCUCACGAAUAUAGUGAUACUUGAUGUUGAUAUGUUUGCUUAUGCCACGAAAUACAGGAUUCUUAGCUAAUGCAAUCGCUGACUUGUUAUCACACAGCAAUUUAGUAAGACCCUCUUGUUCAUGCAUUAGUUCAAAAAGCAUCCUACGAAGCCAUAUCGCUUGACAUUCUGCUGAAGAUACUGCAAUGCAAUGUAUUCUGCUUUAGCUGUCGAGAGUGAAAUAACUUGUUGUUUCUUUGAGGACCAAGAAAUUAUUCCUAAUCCAAGAAAGAAUGCAUAUCUGGAAGUACAGCAGUAGAAUCAAAAUAAAGCAUGUAGUAGAGUGGCUAAGUUGUCUGACAAGUCUGUCGAAAACUGCAGUGAGAAGAUAGUAGCAAUUGCUAUUUUUGGUAAAACUGUAGAAGUCCCAAUAAAGAACCUGUUUGGGAAUUACCUUUCUAGACAAUAGCUCAAUGGAGUCUCUCCAAUGAUCAUCUACUUCUCUAAAUUAUUCUUGAUGGAUAGAUUGGAAAUAGUAUAAAAGAGAAAACCAUGAAAAACCAAAAGAGAGUGCAGCACAUAAAAAGAUCAAGUAGCUUACGUAUUGUUGUUCUUAGCUAAAAGCUAUUUGUCUUACUAUUUUGACUAUCAUGCUGUUUAGCAAUUGUGCUAAGGAUCAAGUGCAUAAGUGUAAGAGCAAUAACUGAGUCCAAAUAAUGUGAUCUAUUAUGUAAGCAAUAACUGAGUCCAUAUAAUGUGAUCUAUUGUGUAAAGGAUCAGUGCUUGCCGUUUGUAACUUUCUAAGCAAAUUGUUGAUGGAAUCCAACUCGUCUUGAGGCUAUUAGUCUAAAGAGUGGACAUAAGCUUGAGGAUAAAGUCGAACCACUGUAAAUUUCCGUGUCUCACUAUUUUUCUUCUUCUUAUAUACAUUGGAUACAGUGAAUGAGUAUUUACAUAAAAAUCAGGUUAAGGUGAUUUUUACUUAGCAAUUAGCUUAUUUCCGCAAAAGAUCAUCAAAGUUUGAAAAUAACCUAUUCAUCCCUCUCUAGAUUGUGUUGUUAGCCUCACCAAUUAACAUUAUAGCUUUGUAGCUCAUUAUUUGAAGUGCAUUUCUUUUUAGCACAAAGAUCCUUUCUUAUGGCUAACCUUGAUAGCUUUUUUGCAAAUGAUGCUCAAGCUCCCAACAAGCUGCCAUACUUCAAUGGGAGCAACUAUGGCUAUUGGAAGCAAAGAAUGAAGUCAUACAUUAAAGCUACAGCUCUGGAUAUGUGGGAUGUAAUUGCAAAUGGUCCAAAAGUACCAACUCCUAUUUGACAAGAGGGUCAAGAAGCAACAACGGUCGAUAAUACAAAAGAAGCUCGAAAAAGAGUCACUCUUAAUGCUAAAGAUAAACACAUUCUGUAUUGUGCACUGUCACCUUUUGAGUUUAACAUAAUCUUUUCUUGUGAUACAACAAAAGAAAUAUGGGAUCGCAUCAUGCUGACAUUUGAAGGAACAGAAAGAGUCAAAGAAGCAAACCUGAACAUCCUACUUAGGAAGUAUAAUCUGUUUAAGAUGAAGUAUGACGAAACGGUAACACAAAUGUUCACAUGAUUCACUGAGAUAGUGAAUGAGCUAGCUCUUCAAGGAAAAAUAUAUACAAAUGCUGAGAAAGUAAACAAAUUACUACGAGCCAUUCCCAAAGAAUGAAGUAUCAUGAAGACCUCACUACACGAAACCAUAAGGAUUCAACCAAUCACGAUGGACAAACUUAUAAGAAUAUUCAUGUCUGUUGACACCUAAAUUUUUGCAUAAAAAAUAGGUUAAUUUUUACCCCAAAAAAAUAAAUAAAAAUUGCAUGACAUAUAGUUUAGACACAUUUAUCUUAUUUUGUUUUAUUUUAUUUUAUUUUAUUUUAUUAGACCGACGGUGAGCGUGAAAUUUUUUACAUAUUCCAUUGAGAUUUUUCACACAAGUAAUAUAAACUAAGGGACAUAUUUUCGAGCAAAAAGGAAAUUUUCAAAUGGAAUAUUUGACAGAUAUAAAAGAGAAUAUCGCGAGUGGUGCAACAAUAUAUUCAGAGGAUUAUGCACAAGCAAAAUUGGAAAUAAAAUGUCACAAAUGUCUAAAUUUUUCUCCUAUAAAAGGUACUGUUCGUGUACGGAUACAGGGGAUUGGGGGGAGAAAAUUCGAAAAAAAUUUGGAGAGAAAAACGUGAGGGGGCUUUUUCCUUCGGUUGAUUGGAGUUGAAAAUUCAAAAAAAGAAGAAGAAAGAAUUCGUUUGUUUGUUUAUAAAUAAAAUAAAAUAAAAAGUCAGCAAAAGUGUGCAGAAAAAAGGAAGAGAGAGAUGGGACAAGAGAGAGUGAUGUGAGAGAGACGUGGGAGUAAAAAAAAAAGUAAAAACAGGGAAGACUGUUCAUCUUCCUCGCAGGCGCCUCAGCCGCUGUCGCCGAUCCCUUCCGCCUGUGCCGGCCCGCGACCUGCAGCCGCCGCGCUCCGCUCGCCGCCUCAGCCGAGCCGCCGACCACCACCGCUCGCUACUCACACCGCCGCUGUCCCGAUCUGCCCGCUCGAGCGCCCCUAGGCCGGCAGAUCUGAGCUGCUCGCCACUCCACCGCCGCGCUAGCUCCCGCACCGGCCCGCGCCUCCUCUGCUGCUCGUGCCGCGCCACCACCAGGGUUCCUCUCGCUCGCAAGCUCGCACCGCCACCCCGUUGUGCCGAUCCGCGACGACUCGACGCUCCGCUGCUACUGCUGUACCUUCGCCGGCCACGAGCACCACCAUCUUCGCCCUCGCGCCGGUCACCGCACCAGCACCGCCGUUCGUUGCCCUUGUUGCAGGCGCGACGACUCGACGCCGCCUCUGCUCAGUCACCCCUUCACCCGCCCCUGCUGCAGCACCAGUCGCUGCAACCUGACGUCGCAGCUCCUGUCCGACCCACGACGCCACUUCUGCUCCUCCUCCGCCCUCAGCCUCGUCGCGUCGCUGCAGCCCUGCAGCAGCCCGAGUCCAGCGCCCAGCUUCGCCGCUGCUGCCCUCCUUCCGAACGACAGCACCACAGCAGCACGCUUCCUCCCGUCGCGCGCCUGCUGCCGCCCCUCGCCGGAGCUCCGAACGCCGGCGACCCAACCCCAGGUGACCCAGCGAAGCUGCCAAGUCGUGGGUGAAAAAGCGAGAAAAGAAAAAAAAAGGGAAAAAGAUUAGGUAGUUUUUUUAUUUUACUUUAUCUUACCUUUUUCUUUAUUAUUUUAUUUUACUUUACUUUAUUUUUUUAGUAUAAUUAUUCCUUAAUGUAAAAUUGAGAAUUCCCGACAUAAAAUUGCCUCUGGAAUUUGGGAUUGAAAAUCCGAUUUUCGUGUCCGAAAUUCGACUCGCAAUAACUUGAAAAAUCACCAAUCCAAUCUCACGCCUGAAAUUCGAUUCGCGAUUUAUUUAAAAUUGGCCAAUCCGAUAUUAUGCGCAAAAUAUGGUUCGUCAAUUUGGACAUUAAUAUUGUCUUGCUCUGAUUUGCUACCAUGUCGUUUAAGUUGAUUUUGUUUUCGUAAAAAAAAAAAAUGUGAGUUAGAUUAGGUUUAUUUCUUGUUUUAGGGUUUGCAUAUUUAGAAUAGGAAUUUUAUUUCGAAUUUCAAAAAAAUAAAAAUUAAAAAAUCAAAUCAAUCAAUUUAGGUUGCUAGUUUUUUAACUUAGGUUGCAUGUUUAAUUAUUGGACAAUUUUUAAUUUCGGAAUUAAUAAAAAAAAAUCAUAUUGCAUAUGUCAUGUAGAAUUAGGGCAUCUUUUUGUACAUUAUUGCAUAUUAGGAUAAAAUUACAUGUUUCAUUUUAAGUUUAAAUUGAUUUUUUAGAUAGACUACAUCUUAGGUUAGAGAUUGCUAAGUUAAGAUAAUAUCUUAGUUUAAAUUAGGGUUUAGCCUGACCUAAUCCUUAAUAUAAAUUGGAUAGAAUCUUAAUCUAGCUAGAUAAUUUUUACAUAUUUUGAAUUUCGAAUUUCAUUAAAAAAAAUGCAAAAAAUGUCUUAGAAUAAAUUAGUUUCAAUUCAUAGGAUAGAUUGCAUUCUUUUUUUUUAAAAAAAAUAAUAAUAAAAAAUGUCAUCACAUGUCAUAUAGAAUUAGAUUUAGUGAUUAUUGCUAGGUCCACCUAAUUAGAAAUUGUCUAUCAUUAGAAUUAAGUCGUUUAAUUAUAUUGCAUUGUAUAAAGCAUGAUUCUCAUUAAUUAAGUGAAAAAAAAAGAAAUUGCGUGUUAAUUAAAAAUAAUAUCUAAGGUUGUUGAUAUGAAUUCUAAUCUAACAAGGUAAGUCCUGUAAUUUAUUCAUUACAUUCUUGGGUAUUAAAUUGGUGGUUUGCACACCUGUAUGAUCACCUCAAUGUUAGGGAAAUAGAUUUAAAAUUAAUCCAAACUGCCUGCAAAAACAUUUUUGAAAAAAAAA
rnacentral:lncRNA from 1 species